rnacentral:rRNA from 1 species
UACGGAGGGGCUAGCGUUGUUCGGAAUUACUGGGCGUAAAGCGCACGUAGGCGGCUUUGUAAGUUAGAGGUGAAAGCCUGGUGCUCAACACCAGAACUGCCUUUAAGACUGCAUCGCUUGAAUCAUGGAGAGGCGGGUGGAAUUCCGAGUGUAGAGGUGAAAUUCGUAGAUAUUCGGAAGAACACCAGUGGCGAAGGCGGCCCGCUGGACAUGUAUUGACGCUGAGGUGCGAAAGCGUGGGGAGCAAACAGGG